AGAAUCAACGCUGGCGGCGUGCCUAACACAUGCAAGUCGAACGAGAAAGUGGAGCAAUCCACGAGUAAAGUGGCGCACGGGUGAGUAACACGUGACUAACCUACCCUUGAGUGGGGGAUAACCUAGGGAAACCUGGGCUAAUACCGCAUAAUACCUUCGGGUCAAAGGAGCAAUUCGCUUAAGGAGGGGGUCGCGGCCGAUUAGUUAGUUGGCGGGGUAAUGGCCCACCAAGACUGUGAUCGGUAUCCGGCCUGAGAGGGCGCACGGACACACUGGAACUGAAACACGGUCCAGACUCCUACGGGAGGCAGCAGUGGGGAAUUUUGCGCAAUGGGGGAAACCCUGACGCAGCAACGCCGCGUGGAGGAUGAAGCCCCUUGGGGCGUAAACUCCUUUCGAUCGGGAAGAUAAUGACGGUACCGAGAGAAGAAGCCCCGGCUAACUUCGUGCCAGCAGCCGC
rnacentral:rRNA from 1 species